AAGUCGUAACAAGGUUUCCGUAGGUGAACCUGCGGAAGGAUCAUUAAUAAAAUUGGAAUAUCUUAUUCUUAAACCCACUCUGAGUACUCGUACUUGUUGCUUCCGUGGGCAGCGAACCAUGUGUUUGCGUUCACCCAUCCGGUGGGCCCACGGGAGACAUUAUUAAACCCAGCAUUCCGUAUCCUCAGUCUGAUCAUGUUUUUUUAUUAAACGUUAAAACUUUCAACAACGGAUCUCUUGGUUCUCGCAUCGAUGAAGAACGCAGCGAAAUGCGAUAAGUAGUGUGAAUUGCAGAAUUCCGUGAAUCAUCGAAUCUUUGAACGCACAUUGCGCCUCCUGGCAUUCCGGGAGGCAUGCCUGUUCGAGCGUCAUCAAAUCCCCUCAAGCUUGGAUUCAUCCAUGACUUGGUAUUGGAGUUGGAGUGCACUCGAGUCAUUCCUGUCCGAAAACCCUUGGCAGGGUUGUCUGUACCAUUGAGUGUACUAAUCAACGUUAUGUUUCGCUCUUGUAUGGAUCAUCUCUAGCCGUCAACCCCCAACAAUCUUAAGUGUUUGACCUCGGAUCAGGUAGGGAUACCCGCUGAACUUAAGCAUAUCAAUAAGCGGAGGAAAAGAAACCAACAGGGAUUGCCUUAGUAACUGCGAGUGAAGCGGCAAAAGCUCAAAUUUUAAAUCUGUCACCUUCGGUGUCCGAGUUGUAAUUUGGAGAGAUAUCUUCGGUUUGGAUGCUGUCCGAAGUUCCUUGGAACAGGACGUCACAGAGGGUGAGAAUCCCGUAUGUGGAUGGCAACUCCUUACCAUGUGAAGUGUCUUCGACGAGUCGAGUUGUUUGGGAAUGCAGCUCAAAACGGGUGGUAAAUGUCAUCUAAAGCUAAAUAUUGGCGAGAGACCGAUAGCGCACAAGUAGAGUGAUCGAAAGAUGAAAAGCACUUUGAAAAGAGAGUCGAAAAGUACGUGAAAUUGUUGAAAGGGAAGCGCUCAAGACCAGACUCAAUCUGUGGUGAUCAGCGGUGCUUUUGUACCGUGCACUUGCCACUCUUUGGGACAGCAUCGGUUCGGGUGAUGGGAUAAAGGCUUGCGGAACGUAGCUCCCCUCGCGGGGAGUGUUAUAGCCACAGGCGCAAUGCCAUCGAUCCGGACCGAGGACCGCGCUUCUGCUAGGAUGCUGUCAUAAUGGUCUUCAGCGACC
rnacentral:rRNA from 1 species